rnacentral:rRNA from 1 species
CACGUAGGGGACGAGCGUUGUCCGGAUUUAUUGGGCGUAAAGCGCGCGUAGGCGGCCGCGUUAGUCGGAUGUGAAAACCCGGGGCUCAACCCCGGGCCGUCAUUCGAUACUGCGUGGCUAGAGGCAGGUAGGGGAGAUCGGAAUUCCUGGUGUAGCGGUGAAAUGCGCAGAUAUCAGGAGGAACACCGGUGGCGAAGGCGGGUCUCUGGGCCGAGUACUGACGCUGAGGUGCGAAAGCGUGGGGAGCAAACAGGAUUAGAACCGUACCGUACGUAGUCCAAGAUCCAGUCUGUCGACCGAUCGAUAAC